GGGUGAGAGAGUAAAAAUGUCAUUUUCGGAAAAAAAAAAUAAAAAAAAUUUGAUGGCAUUUUCGUGAAUAUCAUGAACUUGUGGGGUGAAUAGGACAAAAGAAAAAUUCAAAAAAAUCAUGGGUUAGUUUUAGAUUUUACUUUGAGUUUUGAAUUAAUCUUGCAAAAAACCUUUUUAUUAUUAGAUAAAAUAACAUUCAAAUAUUAUAAGAGUUUUAGCACAAUAAAUAUUUUUUUGUUAUGAUUAGCAUAAAUGUAAAUGCCUUAGAUAUAUGUGCUCAAGGGAUCUUCAUCAUAAACAAUUAAUAUGUCUUUUCCCUGAUAGAACAAAAACUAAUGUAGUAUAAUGACUUUUACAUAUAUUGGUAAUAAUAAAUAAACGUAAAAUUCUUUUCAAGCAACAAAACUAGAAAAAUUGGGUUUUGGUUUUUGUUUACAAAUGGGAAAUUAAAAAAAAAAAUACUUUUUCCCAGGUUUUAGGAAAAUCAUAUCUCAAAAAGCUUGAUUGGAUAAAAAAUUGGACGAAAAAAGGUUUCUGGAAACAAAAGCCAAAAACUAUUCUAAAAUAACAAUCUCGAAAUAUAGAGUAAAAGAUGGGAAAAUGGGCUAAUAAAUCC
rnacentral:lncRNA from 1 species